rnacentral:rRNA from 1 species
GACGAACGCUGGCGGCGUGCCUAAUACAUGCAAGUAGAACGCUGAAGAGAGGAGCUUGCUCUUCUUGGAUGAGUUGCGAACGGGUGAGUAACGCGUAGGUAACCUACCUGGUAGCGGGGGAUAACUAUUGGAAACGAUAGCUAAUACCGCAUGACAUUGAUUAUCGCAUGAUAAUUAAUUGAAAGAUGCAACUGCAUCACUACCAGAUGGACCUGCGUUGUAUUAGCUAGUUGGUGAGGUAACGGCUCACCAAGGCGACGAUACAUAGCCGACCUGAGAGGGUGAUCGGCCACACUGGGACUGAGACACGGCCCAGACUCCUACGGGAGGCAGCAGUAGGGAAUCUUCGGCAAUGGGGGGAACCCUGACCGAGCAACGCCGCGUGAGUGAAGAAGGUUUUCGGAUCGUAAAGCUCUGUUGUAAGAGAAGAACG